CAGCAAUCUGAGGAUUGGCGGGACAAAUAUGAUGCCCAGGUUCAUCAAUGUUCUGAUUUGAGUACCAAACUUAGUGCCACUGAGGUG
rnacentral:sRNA from 1 species